AUGACUGUUAUGGAAAAGGCUAUGCCUGUUCUCGGUAACUGUUGGUUGGGUGCCUCAAGGUGAAUUUGGAUUUUUCUUUCAGCUUCGGGUGAAAAGAUUUGUACGUACAAGUGGAUGAAUUCCCUCAAGAUUGACUAACUGGUAAGUAAAAAGGAUCGGAAUUUAUGGAGUUGUGUGUAGAAGAAGUAGAUCUGGAGGUGCGGCGUAUUCCUAUGAAGACUGAAUCCUAGUACAUUUCUGAUUUCUCUACAACGGAAUGGAACCGGGGGCAUCAAAUUUGUUGAAGGGGAGCCAGGUAAUGAAAGACUACUCUGAUUCCUCAAGUUUAAAACAGAGGAAGCAGCUAAGGAUUCUUAUUGGUUUUUGUAUCAGAUUCCAACUCUGAUGGGAGAGGCUUAGUCCUAUUGCACUCUCAUUUCUUUUUCUUAUUAAUUCAUGGCAUUUUCUACUGAAAACGCCUGUGUUUGUGCAUAUUUGGAAUAGUUGAAUCAAGAACAGUUUUCCCUCUUUGAAUUAAUGCAGCAGCAGCUUGGUUCGUUGCUUUUGACUAUAUCAGUGUGUAGUAUUCUGUUAACAAGGAGCAAGAGCUCUCACCGAAUCCGUCUUC
rnacentral:lncRNA from 1 species